UCCUAACAGUAGCCUCCUCUGGGAAGAGGGUCCCAGGCAUUAUGUUUGUCACAUGACAUCAAAAGUUCUGCUUUUAAACUCAGAAUUCUCAGGGAUUCAAGGACCCUUAAAGCCAGGGAAUGCUGAAAGAGCCAGGGAGAAAGAUUAAGAAUGACUCAGAGGGAUGCUGUGAAGGAAAAGGGCCCGGUCUGGUGCGUGAAGAGCGAGGGGCUGUGGACAGGGUAGAGUGUGAGGGCCCGCACAGCACUGGCAGCAGAAAAACAAGUGUAAACAGUGAAAGGCUCUAGGCAAAACGUAGUCAUUUAUUGGAUGAAGUCUUCCGUUAAAAAAAUUUCGAAGUCUUUUCCUUAAGCCCUUCAGGGGAGCGAAGGAGAGGAUCAGGAAGACGUUUCUGUCAAUAAAGAGCACGGAUCAAUCAAUACGUUUGCAGGGGCCGCGCUGCGCAGCGCAGCGCAGGGGCGCGCUCUACCCAGCCGGGCCAGCAGAUGGCAGUGUGGUCCUACUGGGAACCUCUAGCCUCAGCGCCACUUUCCUCUCCUCCCUAAGGGGAAGUUCUGGGGGUCCUCACUUUUCUUCCUUCCUGGGUAAUAUGACCUGGAGAGUCAGCCUGUAGGGUACGACUCAGCAUCCAGCCAGUGCUUGGCGGCUGCGCAGGCAGUGUUGCUGCAUGAAACAGUGGUCUUUGAAGUGAGUGCCUCUUUGAAAUGGAAGCCUCUGCAAUCAAAGCUUAAGUCCUGCACUUGGAUUAUGAAAAAGAAAAAACAGAACUGUCACAUAAAGGGCUCACACGGUACAGUGGAACAUCUGAAGGAGAGGUUUGGUUGUUUCAAGGCUUGUGGGCAGAGCCCUUUAUUGGACGCUGUAAGUUUCUGACCCAGAGGAGAUGCUUCUGCGAGUUGAGAGUCUCUGAGGAGCCUGGGAUCUCAGACUGGCCUGGCUCAUGGUGCCUGAUGUGCAGAAGGGAUGCUAGACAGGAGGCUGAAGUCUUUGGUUUCCAGUCCUGAUUUGGAUGAAUGCCUGGACCUCUUGCUUCUCCAGCAAAGGACCUGAAGGGACAGUGUGGCUGGACGCAGCAGCAGAUCAUCCUGCCCUGGAGUGUUUCUCUCACCAUUGGGAUCCCAGGCAAGUGAUGCUACUUUCAUGAAGCCUCACUUCAACCACUCAGACCCUCCUCUGAAUGCCUGUUAAGCUGGAGGCUACCGAUGGAGGUGAGAACACCACCACCUUCUGCCAAAGCUUGAUGCAUUGUUGCCCCAACUGGAGAGAUACAAAGAGGAAUGACUCCCGGGUCAACCAGGUCCUCCAGUCAACACUCAGCUAAUGUUUUCAGAUCACCUACUAUGUGCUUGGAACUACGGAAGAAACUAUGGAGGAUAUCGAAGUGAGAUCAUAAGCUGGGAACAAAUUGGCGAUGAUAAUGGCACAGAUGCUACUUCAGCAAAGAAAGGAAUAAAGAAGUAGAGGAUGUCUUUGAAGGGACGGGCAGGUCAACUGUGGAAGGAGGGAGGGACACCGCUGAGUUCUUCAUUGAGAAUCCCUGUCCUUUGACAGAGCUUCAGAGAAUUUUCGAGCAUAUGACGAGCAUCUGGAACUGUUCCUUCCAGAAAAUAAUACAUCAGGAGGCAGAAAAAUAAUUAUGUUUCCCUCAAUGAUCCCAGCAAAGAUGUUUGCUCUCCUAAAGGACCUCAAGGCACUCAUAAAACUAGGAAAACUGAGUUAAGUGCUUUUUAUUAAACCAUUAAGAGAUUUUAUUCAGCUAAGACAAAUGUCUUCACUGAAGGAUACAGAGUUUGAUAGUAUAGAAAAUACCCAGAUGAAAACUUGUCUGAAUAAAUUAGAUGGAUGCAUUUGGCAUUUAGGGUUCCAAGUGUCUGCCUCCCUCCUGCAGCCCCAAGCUGCCAACCAAAAAAAUAUUCUCUACUGCAGGACACACUGAGUUUGAGGUGGGUGGGUGGGGAAUAGGCGGGAGAGCUCCUAACAGCACUGGAGAUUUCCCAAACCGUGAGUGGCUUUAUGGGCUAAGACGGAGGGAGCAAGGACUCCAUUUUCUUUCCUCCAUAGCUGAGGACUUCUGGAUCCCUGUGGAAUUAUCCACUUCGCCAGCCACAGGGAGGCUGAGUGGUAGACCGAGGAGACCAGAGCAUUGGCCACAGGAAGGGCAGGCAGAAAUGCAGAACUCACAGCCCAUUUCAGGGCUCUCAAAUCUCUGGUCUGCCAUGACAUACACAGGGGGCGGAGACGCAGAAAGACACAUUUAAAGACACAUGUACACCCAGCUUCCUCGUCACACCUGCCAGAUGCUUUGUAAUCCUAGAACAGCUUCUCUUCUGGGGACAUCGUGUCUCCCCUUAGCUCUUUUCCCCACUUUUCCAGAAUGCAAAAAGUACUGCUAUGUGAGAAUCUUGUGUGCCAAGGGAUUUAGAAUAAUAAUGUUUAUUUAUAAGGAAUAAAAUUGAGCCAGGCACGUGAGCCCACAACGGCUCAGACUUAAUAAUAGUAAUAGCUAAUGGUUAUUGGGUAUUUACCAUGUGCCAGGCACCAUGCCAAGUAGUUGACACACAAUGUCUUCUUUUGUCCUCACAACAGCUCUGUGAGGAACAUGCUAUCCUUACCAUCCUUCUGAGGAGGUGUCCGGUUUCACAAGGUGAUUCAACCUACCCAAGGUCACUUCCAGACAUGCCCAUGUGAAGAUCUUCCCAGCAUCCUUUUCUAUGCUCAUCCUUGUGGAACCGACCAGCUUCCUCUGGGAACUGCUGUUCCCAUUCCCUCCAUCUUACCCAUGUGGCUACUGAGGGAGUUGCCAUGGUUUUUCAUGACUGUCCCCCUGCCAGUCAUUCCCUUCCCAGGGCAUUUUUAAAUCCAGGAAAAUCGAGCAUGUUCAGCCUGAAGUUCUACCAUGUGGUGG